UGACCACUUUCUUUAUUGAAAGGAAAGGCCAUACGGACAGCCGGGUCAAAUGCCGA
rnacentral:sRNA from 1 species